AUGGCCAUAUCACAUUAAAACACCGAUUCCCAUACAAUCACUGAAGUUAAGCAAUGCUAAAUCUGGUCAGUAUCUAGAUGGGUGGCCGUUUGGGAAUACUGGGUGCUGUAAG